CCCAUCUCCCUCCCUCAAACGCCGCCGCCCGUCGCUGCCGCCCCCGCCACCUCCCCAACGCACGUCUCUCGAUCCCCUCUCCAGAUCGCUGCCGUCUCUCCGGAUCGCGCCACUGCCCCCACCCGAACGCACGUCUCUCGAUCCCCUCUCGAGAUCGCCGCCGCCGCUGUCUCUCCGGAUCGCGCCGCCGCCGUCUCUCCGGAUCCGCCGCCGCCGUCUCUCCGGAUCCGCCGCCGCUGUCUCUACUUGUGGAGUCGCACGACGAUCCCUUCCCGGAUCCGUCGCCGAUCACUUUCAGGAUCCGCCGCCGACCACUUCUAGGAUCCGCCGCGUACCGCCUAUAGGAUCUGCCGCCGAUCACUUCAAGGUUCCGCUGCGUACCGCCUAUAGGAUCCGCCCGUUCGUGGUUCGGCUAGCUUUGCUGAUGCAUAUGCCGACAUGAUAAACAAGAUAUGCAUGCAUAUUUUAAUUUUAUUUGGAGAUAAGAUAUAUAUGCGAUACUAAUUGCUAAGUCGAGGAAGCAUGUGAUUUCGAUGUUGAUACUGAUUCUCAAGAAGUGUUGGAUACUCUGCUUAACACGAAACUGGAACAUGAAACACUGAUGCAGGUUUCAUGAUGGAACUGGAAAGGCCCUUCUGAAGAGAUCGGGACAAAGGAGUUCUGAAGAAGAAGAUUCAUCUACAGAAUAUAUAAUAUGCAUUGAAGAAAACAGAGAUUCAUCUUGGUGAGCACUAACCGUUCAUUAUAGAUUGUUGGCGAGAUAAGUUGCUCCUAUGACUAAAAUUGUGCCGGCACUCUGAUUUACUACUGGGUGCCCUUUCUAGAGGUAAAUUUUAUUAUUAUUUUGGUCGUGUACGCGGGGGGGGGGGGGGGGGGUGGGGUGUCUUGAUUGAUUCACUAACUGUUUUAGCUUUGACGUUGUAUGUCAUCAGCUUGGGUUUGUUCGAUCAGAGUUUUCACACAUUAUAUGACUUCGUUAAAAUUCAGGUUGCGUUCUGUCUUUUAUACUUUAAAAAAAUAGCGAGUGAACCUUUUUUGAAAUUCGGUCUGCCACAUAGAGAGGAACUCAUUGGCUCCCCGGCGCCAUCGAGCACUGAGGUUGACCAAACAAGUGUGUGAACAUUUAUGAGAUUUGUAAUUUGAAAACUAUAUAAAGCCAAAUAACUAUGAACACACCCUUGGAAUAAAUGUGAAAGGAGAAUCUGCGGUCUUACCGGAAAAAAUUGAAACAUUAGCUAGGAUUUGUUGGUUAGAUUCAUGUUGCUCCAUCCAUUUACUAUCAGUUCCUUUCAUAUAUUGCUUCCAUCAGAACAUGUUGACCUGAUUGUCCAUGGUUACACUCAUCUUCAAAUGGCACAACUUGUUUUGCUGCCACAUCUUCUCUUACCAUACGAUGAAUAGGUACUAUGUUCCAUCCCUCUCUUAUUUCACACUGCAUUAACAAUGUUUUUUCAGUGUGUCGAUUUGCCUAACUAUGCCUUAUUGACUACUGAUUUUGUUACUAAUGUGUUCACAAACCCUGCCUAAUUAAUUUAGUCCACUAUAUCUAACCAUAUGAAGUGUGAAAGUUGAUUCUGACUACUUGCCUGGUGGUGUGGUACAUUACCUCUUUUUUAAAAUUAUGAGAGCGGAACGACAGCGUUGGCGUGGACGACUCAGAGCUCAACCCCGUCAAGGGCCGCGAGCAGGAGCGGCAUUCUUUUCCACACGAAGAUGACCAAGGUCCAAGGGCGCCGUCGGCCACUUUGUCAUUGUCGUCGAAGAGUCCAAGCUUGUCCCCGCAUCGGUUGCAUUGGUGCCGAUCAGGUGCUAAUCUGAAUCCUUGUCCAAUUGCAAGUGGCCUAUAAAAAACCCUGGGUUGAAUGCACAUUACCAUCACACUGCCAUGUAAUUUUUGUUGGUACACAAUCAUGUUGCUGCAGUUCUAUUUAUAGACUUUUUUGCCAUUUUGUCUUUGUGUUUGUCCAUGGUCAGAUCAUGUUUUUAAGCUUGAUUGUUAUGAGUCAGUAAGGUGAGAAUGAGCGGUAAUGGUUUAACUAAUCAUCCCAUCAUGUUUUUAGUAUCAUAAUUUAUUUAUGCUAAUUCUUUCA